AUUGAACGCUGGCGGCAGGCCUAACACAUGCAAGUCGAGCGAGCGGCGGACGGGUGAGUCAUGUCUGGGAAACUGCCUGAUGGAGAGGGAUAACUACUGGAAAAGGUAGCUACUACCGCAUGCCAUCAGAUGUGCCCAGAUGCGAUUAGCUAGACGGGGGGGUAACGGAUCACCUAGGCGACGAUCCCUAGAUGGUCUGAGAGGAUGACCAGCCACACUGGAACUGAGACACGGUCCAUACUCCUACGGUAGGCAGCAGGGGGGAAUAUUGCACAAUGGGCGCAAUCCUGAUGCAGCCAUGCCGCGUGUAUGAAGAAGGCCGUCGGGUUGUAAAGUACUUUCAGCUGGGAGGCGUUACCCGCAGAAGAAGCACCGGCUAACUCCGUGCCAGCCGCCGCGGUAAUAC
rnacentral:rRNA from 1 species